GACGAACGCUGGCGGCGUGCCUAAUACAUGCAAGUCGAGCGAAUCUAUUGGGAGCUUGCUCCCUUUAGAUUAGCGGCGGACGGGUGAGUAACACGUGGGUAACCUGCCUGUAAGACUGGGAUAACUCCGGGAAACCGGGGCUAAUACCGGAUAAGUUGUUUCUCCGCAUGGAGGAACAUUGAAAGAUGGCUUCGGCUAUCACUUACAGAUGGACCCGCGGCGCAUUAGCUAGUUGGUGAGGUAACGGCUCACCAGGGCAACGAUGCGUAGCCGACCGGAGAGGGUGAUCGGCCACACUGGGACUGGAACACGGCCCAGACUCCUACGGGAGGCGGCAGUAGGGAAUCUUCCGCAAUGGACGAAAGUCUGACGGAGCAACGCCGCGUGAGUGAUGAAGGUUUUCGGAUCGUAAAACUCUGUUGUUAGGGAAGAACAAGUACCGUUCGAAUAGGGCGGUACCUUGACGGUACCUAACCAGAAAGCCACGGCUAACUACGUGCCAGCCGCCGCCGUAACAC
rnacentral:rRNA from 1 species